AUUGAACGCUGGCGGCAUGCCUUACACAUGCAAGUCGAACGGUAACAGGUCUUCGGAUGCUGACGAGUGGCGAACGGGUGAGUAAUACAUCGGAACGUGCCCGAGAGUGGGGGAUAACGAAGCGAAAGCUUUGCUAAUACCGCAUACGAUCUCAGGAUGAAAGCAGGGGACCGCAAGGCCUUGCGCUCACGGAGCGGCCGAUGGCAGAUUAGGUAGUUGGUGGGAUAAAAGCUUACCAAGCCGACGAUCUGUAGCUGGUCUGAGAGGACGACCAGCCACACUGGGACUGGGAAACGGCCCAGACCCCUACGGGAGGCAGCAGUGGGGAAUUUUGGACAAUGGGCGCAAGCCUGAUCCAGCCAUGCCGCGUGCAGGAUGAAGGCCUUCGGGUUGUAAACUGCUUUUGUACGGAACGAAAAGACUCCUUCUAAUAAAGGGGGUCCAUGACGGUACCGUAAGAAUAAGCACCGGCUAACUACGUGCCAGCAGCCGCUGUAACAC
rnacentral:rRNA from 1 species